rnacentral:lncRNA from 1 species
UAUCCUGGUCACGCUGAGUUAAACUGUGCUUCAGAGGCCCAGUUGAGGGCUUGUAAAAAGGCUCCAAGCUUUUCUUCCCUGUGGGCUCUCAGUCUCUCCAGCUGUGUUUAGCUGCUGAGAAAUAACAUUUCCCUGACUCGUGAAAGACAGCUUCCCAAGCACUGGCGCACUCAGCAGCUCUCAGCUUGCUUUCUGCCUCGCACAUUUCCUGCGGACAAAGGGUGUAAUUAAGUGUUUUGGUUGAGAGAGGGACCCUCCAAACUCCUUCCAUUCUGCUUUCCACAGGGAUGUAAACAGGCACAGAGGCAUCAGAGACAGCAUUCCUUGAUAAAUGGAACGGAUAAUGUCACACGGGAGAUGAGAACAAUGUUUACAGCUGCUAGGCCAGAGUUGAGGAUGACUGACAUGCAGCAGGCGCAGGGAGACGAUCAUUAAGAGGAUUCCACGGGGACUGCUGAGCAUUCACACCUGCUCCUGGAGCUGACAGCGUCACCGGAGGCAAACAAAAACAAUCAGUGCUGCCUGCAUUACAGCUUAAAUCACUUGACGGGAGGAGCUGGAUAUGUGUGGCUUGAUUUAUACAGGAUGCAGUACAGUGUCAAGCACUGAUGUGUGCUUUAUUAUUAUCCUUUGAUGCUUACUUCUGGAACUAGACGAUCUCUAAGGUGCCCUUCAGCUCUGAAAUUCUGUAAGUAUUAGUCAGGGUUCUCCAGAAAAACAGAACCAAUAGGAGAGAUAGAUAGAUGAUAGAUAGAUAG